UACGUAGGGUGCGAGCGUUGUCCGGAUUUAUUGGGCGUAAAGAGCUCGUAGGCGGCUUGUUGCGUCGACUGUGAAAACCCGCGGCUUAACUGCGGGCUUGCAGUUGAUACGGGCAGGCUAGAGUUCGGUAGGGGAGACUGGAAUUCCUGGUGUAGCGGUGAAAUGCGCAGAUAUCAGGAGGAACACCGGUGGCGAAGGCGGGUCUCUGGGCCGAUACUGACGCUGAGGAGCGAAAGCGUGGGGAGCGAACAGG
rnacentral:rRNA from 1 species